rnacentral:lncRNA from 1 species
UUGUGAUUGAUGAUUAUGAGAUAAAAUUGUAAUAUAUAAGUGAUGCAUUGCUACAUGUACACAAUAAUAAUCAAUGAUUCCUCUUGAUAUUUCUUUCUCUUUUCUUUCUCAUUUCUUCUGCUAAUCUUUCUUUUCUUCGGUUAAUCUUUAUCUUUUCUUCUGUUAUUCUUAUGAAACAAGUUUCAUCAUAAUAAUCCAUCAUCAUCAUUCAUCGUUUUUUUUCUUAGAAAGUGAUAACCGAAAAAUAAUAUCCAUCUUCCACAACCUUCAACCCUCACCCAAAAUUCCCCAUAACGGAAAAAGAAGUCUCUCAUCUUCUCUCCGAACUCAAAAGCCGAGAAACUCCACAUUCGUCUCCCUCAACUCUCACCACCAUCGCAACAACCGGAGACUGCAGAAGUAGAAGCGGAGAAGGUGAAAGCAGAGAUGGUGAUAGGAGGAAGAAGGUUCUCAAGAUUUCGCGUUCACCUGAUUUGCGCGUAUUUCGUCGUCUUCAUUGCGAGCGCAGCUUGUAAGGAAUAACUUCUAGUAGAGGCGUAUCAAAUGAAGCGGGAGGAGUGCUCAAAGUCGGCGUCGAAUCUGGUAAGUGUUUAUCUGACGCUGCUCCGUUUACAUUCUGCAUUUCUUUGGUGUUGUUUUGUCCGGCAUAGGAGUAUCUCGCGAAUCCGCCGUUCAAUUUCAUCCGCGGGGGCUACGCUUCUUGGAUAGUCGACCUCGUUUGGGAUGGUGUGUUGAGGAAUAGGGCGGAUGAAUCUCAUGGUUAGGUUAAGGUCGAGAUUCUGUUUAGUUUGGUAGUUUCAUUAGGAGAGAGGAAUUCCGCCGUUGCCGGCGGUGAGUUCCGGCACGGCGGAGAGAGUGUGAGCGGAAGCUGUAUGAGGAGGAGAGAGAGAGUUGUGA